UCUGCAAUUGCAACAAUGUAUAGUAAUAGGGUUGACUAACAAGUCCCCGCCCUUUUCUGUAGAUUUCUUCAUGAGACACCCCUGAUACGAAUUUACAACAAUUGCAACUAUAAUCCUUCACGGGACAUCCACAUUUUUUCACGGUUUCUUUACUAAUCAGAUCGGAAAACUUUUUCGGCGUGGAAGCACCGCAACAAGGUGGACAAGGAGGUGGUUCCGCACAUGGAGUGCAUUUUCCUUCUUGACGAGCUGCUUCGCGUAUCGCAGCGAAAGUUUGAUCAGUCGAACAGGGACACGUCUGUUGCUCUUUUCGUCGUGCUUUUGGUGAGCAUGGACACUGUUUUCUGAAAAUGAAUAAAGAAUAUCGCUGAGAGGAUACUUUUUUGAUGAUGGAUGACGUCGAAGAAUAAGUCGUUAUAUAUCGAAAAGGAAUCGAACAAUAUUUUUUGAAUUAGCUAGUAUCGAUUUGUAAUAUUGUAUUAUUAUAUAAUACGUUACAUAUUUAAUAAAAAUUUUAACAAGA